rnacentral:rRNA from 1 species
GACGAACGCUGGCGGCGUGCUUAACACAUGCAAGUCGAACGGAAAGGCCCUGCUUUUGUGGGGUGCUCGAGUGGCGAACGGGUGAGUAACACGUGAGUAACCUGCCCUUGACUUUGGGAUAACUUCAGGAAACUGGGGCUAAUACCGGAUAGGAGCUCCUGCUGCAUGGUGGGGGUUGGAAAGUUUCGGCGGUUGGGGAUGGACUCGCGGCUGAUCAGCUUGUUGGUGGGGUAGUGGCUUACCAAGGCUUUGACGGGUAGCCGGCCUGAGAGGGUGACCGGCCACAUUGGGACUGAGAGACGGCCCAGACUCCUACGGGAGGCAGCAGUGGGGAAUAUUGCACAAUGGGCGGAAGCCUGAUGCAGCAACGCCGCGUGCGGGAUGACGGCCUUCGGGUUGUAAACCGCUUUCGCCUGUGACGAAGCGUGAGUGACGGUAAUGGGUAAAGAAGCACCGGCUAACUACGUG